rnacentral:rRNA from 1 species
UGAGGAAUAUUGGUCAAUGGGCGGGAGCCUGACCAGCCAAGUCGCGUGAGGGAAGACGGUCCUAUGGAUUGUAAACCUCUUUUGUCGGGGAGCAAAGAGGCCACGUGUGGUCAAAAGCGAGAGUACCCG